GUAUUCCGUUACUCCCCUACACUGGUCAGCACUUGUGCAGCGCAGGCUUUUCCCAAACUGGUGGUGCUUAAAAUGCUAUAUAAUACAACUGUGUUCAAAGCAGGA